GUCAAUGGUGGCGUUAGUGGGGAGGCGUUCGCGCCUACCGGUUUCCGUUGUGUCCGGUAUUCCUACCCCCGCUAACGUCACCACCAAU
rfam:Bacteria symbiont BFo2 of Frankliniella occidentalis strain BFo2 contig180, whole genome shotgun sequence.